AUUGAACGCUGGCGGCAGGCCUAACACAUGCAAGUCGAGCGGAUGAAGGGAGCUUGCUCCUGGAUUCAGCGGCGGACGGGUGAGUAAUGCCUAGGAAUCUGCCUGGUAGUGGGGGAUAACGUCCGGAAACGGGCGCUAAUACCGCAUACGUCCUGAGGGAGAAAGUGGGGGAUCUUCGGACCUCACGCUAUCAGAUGAGCCUAGGUCGGAUUAGCUAGUUGGUGGGGUAAAGGCCUACCAAGGCGACGAUCCGUAACUGGCCUGAGAGGAUGAUCAGUCACACUGGAACUGAGACACGGUCCAGACUCCUACGGGAGGCAGCAGUGGGGAAUAUUGGACAAUGGGCGAAAGCCUGAUCCAGCCAUGCCGCGUGUGUGAAGGAGGUCUUCGGAUUGUAAAGCACUUUAAGUUGGGAGGAAGGGCAGUAAGUUAAUACCUUGCUGUUUUGACGGUACCAACAGAAUAAGCACCGGCUAACUUCGUG
rnacentral:rRNA from 1 species